rnacentral:rRNA from 1 species
GUCAACGGUCAUACCACGUUGUAACGCACCAGUUCUCGUCCGAUCACUGAAGUUAAGCAACAUUGGGCA